ensembl:ncRNA lncRNA:CR43358 long non-coding RNA:CR43358
ACUAAAAGCAGAUCGCUAGAUAAAAUCAUUAUGAGUUUGUUGUAUCUUAUCAUUGGUUCCUUUGUACUAAUGGGUACCCCCUGUCCACCUAUGGCACCAAGAUGCCGUCUUUAAAAAGCAAAUUCACAAUGGGUCUUGCCGACUAGUAUGACUAAUUAAUUAAUAUCAUAUUUGCUCAAGCGCUUUUUUCAUCAAUUUUUAUGCAUCUACAGUAAUAGGCAGUAGAUCUUUUCCUACUGUGUAUACACAGCUGAUUAAAUUUGUGUAAAUC